rnacentral:rRNA from 1 species
AAGUACCGACGAGGAGAAACUGACUCAGCCUUAAACAGUGAACCUUAACCUAGGGUAAAAAUGCCCCAAUAGUCUAGAAGGACGACAAGACCCUAUAAAACUUUACCACUUCACCCUACCCCUAAAAGUAACCUUUUAAGGGCUUAGUGGUUAGCUGGGGCGGCCAACCCCCUCCGGGGGACACCUUAACACCUUGUGUGAUCCUCAAGAACCCUACUUAGAAGCAAGACCAAGUUACUUUAGGGAUAACAGCGUAAUUGUUUUGUAGAGCCCCUAUCGAUAAAGCAGUUUACGACCUCGAUGUUGAAUUGGAGUACCCCUUGGGAGCAGCCCCUCAAAGGGGAAGUCUGUUCGACUUUUAACCCUCCACAUGAUGUGAGUUCAGACCGGA